rnacentral:rRNA from 1 species
AUUGAACGCUGGCGGCAUGCCUUACACAUGCAAGUCGAACGGCAGCACGGGAGCAAUCCUGGUGGCGAGUGGCGAACGGGUGAGUAAUAUAUCGGAACGUGCCCAGUCGUGGGGAUAACGUAGCGAAAGCUACGCUAAUACCGCAUACUAUCUAUGGAUGAAAGCGGGGGGAUCGCAAGACCUCGCGCGAUUGGAGCGGCCGAUAUCAGAUUAGGUAGUUGGUGAGGUAAAGGCUCACCAAGCCGACGAUCUGUAGCUGGUCUGAGAGGACGACCAGCCACACUGGGACUGAGACACGGCCCAGACUCCUACGGGAGGCAGCAGUGGGGAAUUUUGGACAAUGGGCGCAAGCCUGAUCCAGCAAUGCCGCGUGCAGGAUGAA